UCUCCGCGAUGUCCGCGAAGACGGCGAC
rnacentral:piRNA from 1 species